rnacentral:tRNA from 1 species
CCUGGUGGCUCAGAUGGUAAAGAAUCUGCCUGCAAUGUAGAGGACCCAGGUUCAAUCCCUGGGUCAGGA